rnacentral:lncRNA from 10 species
AGCAAUCAACGAGACUCUGUGGGCGUAGGACCCUCCGAGCCAGGUGUGGGAUAUAAUCUCGUGGAGCGCCAUUUUUUAAGCCAGUCGGAAAAGCGCAGUAUUCGGGUGGGAGUGACCCGAUUUUCCAGGUGCCAUCCGUCACCCCUUUCUUUGACUCAGAAAGGGAACUCCCUGACCCCUUGCGCUUCCCAAGUGAGGCAAUGCCUCACCCUGCUUCGGCUCGCGCAUGGUGCGCGCACCCACUGACCUGCGCCCACUGUCUGGCACUCCCUAGUGAGAUGAACCCCGUACCUCAGAUGGAAAUGCAGAAAUCACCGUCUUCUGCGUCGCCCACGCUGGAAGCUGUAGACCGGAACUGUUCCUAUUCGGCCAUCUUGGCUCCUCCUCGCAGUGUAGCAUGUGCAGUUUCCACUGCAAGUUCCGGCUUACUGAGAAGAGCAAUCUUGAGCCCUGUAGCCCAAUGUUGAAGCUUUCCUCACAGAUUAAUUUCUCACAGUAAUGGUGUAAGGUACAGAAUCAAGCAAGAAUUGGCUAGGUGAUUCUUCUGCUACACCUGGCUAGGCUUGGCCGAAGCUCAGGGACAGCUCCUCUCAUAUGCCUGGUACCUUGUGGAUAUCUGGAAAACUGAAUUCAUCAAGGCCCCUUUCCCUCAGUGCUGUUGUCUCUCACCUGGUUUCUCUAGUUCUUGUUGUCACUGGAGCACCCUCCUGGAUGCAUUUCUGUAUCUUCAAAAGGAAUGCCGGUUAAAAUGUUAAUAAAGUCUCUGAGCAAAGUUGCCUAUACAUAAAAUCCCAGCUACUUGAGAGACUGAUGCUGGAGGAUCCUUGGAGCACAGGAGUUUGAGGUUUCAGUGAGCUAUGAUCAUGCCACUGCACUCCAACCUGGGUGACAAAGCAAGACUUCAUCUCUAAAAAUAAAUAUAAAAUGAAAUAAAAUGUCAAUGAAAUAAUGAUUAAAUAAUCUCUCUAAUAUGUGAGUUUGAAUGAUGAGAAGGAACCAAGAUGAUAUCCACAUGCCAAGGAGCUUUAGUUGCUGAAUGUUUAACAAACGUGGGUGUCUGGAAAUUAUUAUUCUUGGUGGUAUUAGAAACUUGGUAGAUGUGUGCAGCAAGUUAAUAUGUCAAAAUGCCAGGUUGCAGCAGAGAAAGAGGUUUAAUUGUGGGGCCGCUGAACAAGGAGACAAGAAGAAACCUCAAAUUCAUUUCUCAAUGGAGCUUGCGACUAAGGUUUUUAAGAGUUUCAGAGUGGAUCUAAAUGUGGAGAUCACUGAUUGGCUGAAGAGUGCAGGGUGAAGUCAUGGGGCAGGGAGAUGAAAAAACCGUAGUCUCAUGCUGAUUCGGUUCCGUUGUGGUGGAUCUUUGAACUGGUUGGUGUCAGCUGUGCCCUUGAAAGUCAGGAUCUGCUUAAGCAAUUCUUAAACAAAGAUCUUGGGAUUCUAAUAUGGAGAUCCUAUCUAUCUUAAACAAAAGCCUUAUGACUAAUGUCAGAAAUUUUAUCUAUAGGAACAAUGGGGAUGCAAAUGGUCUGUAUCUAGUGCUAUGGGGACUUUCGGUUUCAAGGAAGUGAGUCAAAGUGCAGCCUGAUUAAUGCUUAAAUAUAACUCAAUUUAUGUCCAGAAUUCUUGUUAACCCUGUGAGGAUGGCUUCUUCAAGACCUGCUACCAAAAUGCUUAUUCUGGUCUCAGGCUGCAAGGAAGCAGAGGAUUUAGGGAAUUUGGCCUGCAUAUGCUCAAGGAGGUGGCUCCUUUUACAGAUAGACUUAAAAACUCUUGCCCUGAAGAAAACAGCCUCUGUUUUCAUGCAGACGAGAUACCCAAGUGAGGGCCUCAGUGAACAUCUGACAAAUGCUUCUGUUAGCACAAUUCAUCUGGCUGACCCUGGCUGAUACUUCCAAAUUUGACUUAAACAUAUUUCAUUGAAUCUAAGACACCAGUGGUUCUAAGACAGAGCAUUGUUUACUAUGUAAGAGAAAAAAUGAUGACAUAAAGGUAAGAUUCUAGUGUCUAUUAUUGAGGGUUCUACAGAGAAACAGAACCAAUAGGAGAUAGAUAGAUAGACAGAUAGAAGGAUGAGAGGGGAUUUAUUAGGAUAAUUGGCUCACAUGAUUAGGGAGACCCAGAAUUCCCAUGACAUGCCAUUUGCAAGCUGGAGACCCUGGGAUGCUGGUUGCAUGGCUCAUUCCAAGUCCAAAGGCCUUAGAACUAGGGGAGCUGAUGGUGUCAUUGUUAAUCAGAGACUGAAGACAUGAGCACUCCAGGGAGCAGCUGGUAUAAGUUCUUGAUUCCAAAGGCUGGAGAGCCUGGAGUGCUGAUGUCCAAGAGAAAGAGAAGAGCAUUCCAGCUGCAGGGGAGGAGGGGAGAGAGAGAGAGACAGAGAGAAAGAAUUGUCUUUUCUCUUCCCUUUCUAUUCUAUUUGGGCCUCCAGUCGAUUGGAUGAUGCUUACCCACAUCCAGUCGUCUGGGGGCCCAGAUAGAAUAGAAGGGCAGAUAUUUCCCACUCAGUCCAUAUACUCACACCAAUCUCCUCUGCAACACCCUCCAAGACAUACCCAGAAAUAAGUUGACACCUGAAAUUAAUCAUCACAGACUCUAAGAUGCAUCUUUGAAUUGUCUUAAGGGUCUGUGAUGUGCACAUUAAGAUGCACAGAUUCUAAGAUGCAGAGAAAACAUGCAUUUAAAAUAGAAUAAAUAAUCAUCUCUUCACCUGAAUCCAAGUCUUUCCUAGUUGGGGACGCCUAAACUUCAUCGAAGCCUUAAAUAAGCCAUAAGCUUAUUCAUUGUCUUGUGCUUUACACAGGGGGUUUUAUCUUUCUCUUUCCACUUUGCCCCAGCCCUCUGUCAUAUACUGUAGAAAUUGCAUAAAAUCAGGAGCUGUUACAUUAUGGGGGAGCCCCAGCUUUCUUUCUCUGGCCUUGCAUGGUAGUAUGUGGAUAUAUGGAUACAGAUCAUGGCAAUCUUUUUUUCUCCCUUGGAUAUUUUUGUCUGAUAAUAAAAAUUGUUUUGUUCGUAAGAUGUAAUUAAUCUUGGCAAUUCUUCCUUUAGUGCCGCUGUAAGAGUUCUCUAUGAGAGAGAGUACCUAGUUCUCUAGGUUUCCUGAUUCAGUCUAUGCUGAGGUGCAGUCCUCCCUGAUGACAUCUUCUGCUUCUGAACAGUUAAUAGAAAAGUCCCUUCUUCCCUCUAACCAAUAUCAUUCAUAACAAUUAUGCUUUGAGCCCCUUCAAUGUUUCAGGCACUAUUAUAGGCUCUAUUGAACAUAACAUAUAGAGCAUUACUGAUAGGAAUUACAAGAGCCAACUGUAUUUGAGCAAAGACAUGAAGAAAGUGAAGCAGUGGGCUAUGUGGCUAUCUAAUGGGAGAAAGUCCCUGGGAGGGAGUAGCAAAGGAACAGUUCCAUUGUGCAUAGUAGAACAUGCAUAGUGUGUUUAAGAAACAAGGCAGCAAGGAAUACGCCAGCUUGGCUGAAGUAGAACAGGAGGACAGUAGUAGGAGAUAUGAGCAGAGAGAUGUUGAGGAGAGGGCAGACAAAUGUAAAAGACUUUGAUUUUUACUCUGAAUGAGAUGGAAAGGCACUGAAGGAAUUUAUACAAAAGAGUAACAUAUUCUGACUUUAUUUGAAAUGCAUAUGUUAAGUCUAUGUGAAGGGAGAACUUUAACAUGGAAGAGUGGAAACAAUGAGACCAGACAGAAGGCUAGUACAAUAAUAAAAGAGAGUGAUGGUAGCACCUGCAAGAGUUCCAGUUGAGGAUUAAACUCUGAUUUUUUUUUUAUCUUGCCCAAAUUCUUAUCUAAAAAGUGGUCUGGGGGUCAUGCCCUACAAAUCAUAAAUUCUCAUCAGAUGUGUUUUAUUUAAUCCUAUAUAUCAUGACUUACUUUCCAAACUGACUCUGGCAUAACAUUACGAGACAAAGAAGAAAAUCAAAAUAUUUUACAUCAAAACAUGUUUCUUUGCCGUAUUUUGAAAUGGCCCUGCAGAGCUAUUCUUUGUGGGGGAAAAUUUGCAUCUGUAAAGACUCUCUAUUAACAUAGCUAGAUCUUUUUCUUCCAGACCCUCCUAAUCCUAAACAGAUUAACUAAGAUCUGAAUAGGAAACAUUUGUCACCUAUAGCCUCUAAGGGCAGCCACUCUAAGACUUCAAAAGAACUUUGAUCUCUACAAUCUUUAUCUUAACCUGAACAUUCCAUUGUUUCUAUCUAUCCCAGGUCUUUAGACAAACUCAACCAAUUGCCAACCACAAAAUGUUUAAAUUCACCUAUAGCCUAGAAGCCCCCACUUUGAGUUGUUCUGCCUUUCUGGACCAAACCAAUGUAGUUCUUAAAUGUAUUUGAUUGAUGUCUCAUGCCUCUCAAAAUGUAUAAAACCAAGCUGCGUCCCAACCACCUUGGGCACAUGUUCUCAGGACUUCCUGAGGGCUGUGUCAAGGGCCAUGGUCACUCAUAUUUGUCUUAGAAUAAAUCUCUUCAAAUAUUUCAGAGUUUGACUCUUUUCGUCGACACAGUGGUGGAGAUGGUAGGAAGUAGUCAGUCAGUCCUGGAUAUGUUUUGUAUGGAAAUCUGCCAGGUUAGAUUGACUAAAGGGUAGGGAAUGGAGUCCAGGAUGACUCAGGGUGUUCGGCCUGAGUAGCCUGAACAUUGAAGCUGCCAUUGACUGAGAUGGACAAUCAUGUGGGAAAAACGGUUUGAGGGGAAGAAUUAGGAGAUCAGUUUUGGGCAUUGUGAUGGUUAAUACUGAGUGUCCAUUUGACUGGAUUGAAGGAUGCAAGGUAUUGUGCCUGGGUGUGUCUGUGAGGGUGUUGCCAAAGGUGAUUAACAUUUGAGUCAGUGGGCUGAGUGCCGUGGCUCAUGCCUGUUAUCCCAGCACUUUGGGAGGCUGAGGCGGGAGGAUCACUUGAGGUCAGGAGUUCGAGACCAGCCUGACUAACAUGGUAAAACCCCGUCUCUACUAAAAAUACAAAAAUUAGCUGGCCAUGGCAGCAGGCGCCUGUAAUCCCAGCUACUCAGGAGGCUGAAGCAGGAGAAUCACUUGAACCUGGGAGGCAGAGGUUACAGUGAGCCGAGAUCAAGCCAUUGUACUCCAGCCUGGGCGACAAGAGCAAAACUCCAUCUCAAAAAACAAAACAAAACAACAACAACAAAAAAUUUGAGUCAGUGGACUGGGAGAGGCAGACCCACCUUCAAUGUGGGUGAGCACAAUCUAAUCAGCUGCCAGCGUGGCUAGAAUAAAGCAGGCAGAAAAAGGAAGAAGUGGACUUGCUUAGUCUUCUGGCCUUCAUCUUUCUCCCGUGCUAGAUGCUUCCUGCUCUCAAACAUCAGACUCCAAGUUCUUUGGCUUUUGGACUCUUGCACCAGUAGUUUGCCUGGGGCUCUCGAGCCUUCAGUCGCCAGCCACAGACUGAAAGCUGCACUGUUGGCCUCCCUACUUUUGAGGUUUUGGAACUUGGACUGGCUUUCUUGCUUCUCAACUUGCAGAUGGCCUAUUGUGGGACUUCACCUUGUGAUCGUGUGAGUCAACUCUCCUUAAUAACACCGCUUCGUAUAUACAUCUGUCAUAUUAGUUCUGUCCCUCUAGAAAACCCUGACUAAUAAAGGCAUGUUAAAUUGGCCUGUUUAAUAUUCAGGUGGAGUUUUCUGCUGUUCAAUACUAUGUGAAGAUCCUGCAGAAUCACUAAUAUAUAGAGUGAGGUUUAUUACUCUUGUUAGUCUUCCAUUUGUCAUUUCUCCACAUUUUUGGACUGCUCAAGAGGGUGAACAUGAUAUUGGAUACCUUCUACCAUGUACACAAGAUUUAAGAGAGACUUCUCAUGAUGGCUUUGUGAACUGAAGUGAGUCAUAAAUACUGAUUAGUUGUCUAACCUAAUUAUUAGUAGUAUAUAUAAUCUUGUCAAUAUACUUUUCUGGUAUUGUUAUUCUUUCCUAUUUUUAUCAAUUAUUCUAAAUUAUGAUGAUUGUCAGUUAUUUAAUCUACUUAGAUGUGUGUAAAUCUCAUUCAUAUUUAGAUAUGACAGUGCAUAUUAAUAAUAUGUGUUAUAUUACUUGAAUUGCUUUAUUUUUUAGAAAAGAUCAUGAUUAAUUGAAUCAUAUGCUGUGAUGUGUUCCUCUGUUACUCAGGCCUAAAGAGAGUCUUGGAACAUUAUGUUGUCUCCUGAGAGCUUGCUUAGUGGGAGAAUCUGACUUGCAGAUAAUGCCAAGGGGACAAUAAAAGUCUAGCCCAGGCCCUUUAAGUAGAAGCAAAUAUUCUGCAGCAGAUAUAAAAAUAAUAAAAUAUUACCUUCAUAAUCAGAUUGUUUUGCUUAUUGGUGUUUAAUUAAAAACCAAACAACUUUUCCUAUUAACUUGAUGCUACUUAUUAAUUGAAAUGAGGAGACUGACUCUGGAUAUUGGGAAAAUUUAUGGGCACAUACAGAGGAAAAGACAUGUGGGGACAUAAUGAGAGGACAGCCAUCUGCAAGCCAAGAAGAGAAUCCUCACCAGAAACCAACUUGACUGGAAUCUUGAUCUUGAACUUCUUGCUUCCAGAAUUAUGAGAAAAUAAAUUGUUGUUUAACCCACACAGUCUAUUGUACUUAGUUGUAGCAGUCUGAGAAGACUAAUACAUUGAUAAACUGGUCAGUUACAACAAUGAAUAUAUUAUUUAUACAUUAUAUAAAUGAUUAUAGUUUCUGUAUUAGCUUAGAUUUUGCAAAUUUGUCAAUAGCUUUGUCCAAGUUGAUUUUCUUUAUAUAUUCCUAUUUCAUAGACUAUAUUAGCUAGAUUUGUCAAUCUAUCUUACUCAUAAUGACUGAAGAACACUUUUAAAUUCAAUUUAAAAGGUUUUUGUCACAUAAAGCAACAAAUAUAAAACUAGAAAAAAUAUAAAUAUGAAUAUAAAUUUGAAGGAAAUUAAUAAAAAUCGUAUUGUACCAUAUAUUCCAGAAAUUUUAAACACUGAUGAAAACUUCAAGUGGUACCAAGGAAUGAGAGAAUUGAAGUAAUUCAAGUGUUAUAUUUCAUCUUUUCUAUCACUAGGUUGUCAUCAAUUAUUUCAAAUCUGUUUUUUUUUUUAUUGUAAUUAAACUUCUAAGUUCAGGGACACAUGUGAAGGUUUGUUAUAUGGGUAGACUUGUGUCAUAGGGUUUUGUUGUACAGAUUACUUCAUGAAUCCGUUAUUAAGUGCAGUACCCAUUAGUUAUUUUUUCUGAUCCUCUCCUUCCUUGCACCCUCCACCCUCUGAUAAGACCAACUGUCUGUUGUUCCCUCUAUGUGUCCAUAUGUACUCAUCAUUCAGCACCCACUUGUGAGAACAUACAAUAUUUGUUUUUCUGUUCCUGAAUUAGUUUGCUAAGGAUAAUGGCCUCCAGCUGCAUGAUGCUCCUGCAAGGGGCAUGAUCUUAUUCUUUCUUGUGGCUGCAUAGUAUUCCACGGUGUAUAUGUACCACAUUUUCUUUAUUCAAUCUGUCAUUGAUGGGAAUUUAGGUUGAUUCCAUGUCUUUGCUAUUGAGAAUAGUGCUGCAAUGAACAUAUGCAUGCAUGUGUCUUUAUGACAGAAUGAUUUAUAUUCCUUUAGGUAUAUCCCCAGUAUUGGGAUUCUGGGGUCUAAUGAUAUUUCCAUUUUUAGGUCUUUGAGGAAUUGCCACACUGUUUUCCACAGUGAUUGAACUAAUUUACAACCUUCAAAACAGUGCAUAGGCAUUCCUUUUUCUCUGCUACCUUGCUAGCACUUAUUUAUUUAUUUUUGACUUUUUAAUAAUAGCUAUUCUGACUGGUGUGAGAAUCUUCUGCUUAACUCAGGAAUGUGUAGCUCCACGAGAGUAGCUCCCCAGCACCCAAAGAGAGCUUGAAGGAUUCAAAACCGUUAUGAACUUCCUCUUAAAAUGAACAUAUGUAGUUAUGUCUACAUGCAUCAGGGACUGACUGGAUGACUGAGGAUUCUUUGAAUUAACUUUUAUGAAGAUUACAACAUUUAUUAAAGAACAAGUAAUUCAAAUGUGCUAAUUUGUAACUUAAAUAAUAUGUUAUUGAAAAUCAAUAGUAAUCUGUGCAAUUAUUUAGAACUUAGACUAGUAGAAGCCUUUAAAGACAGGACUGUUUAUCAGUGAUGUUGCUUAGAAUUACUGGCAUACUUUGAUAAUAAAAAAGAGAUUAUUUUUAAGUUAGUUUUAUCAUUGCUUUUAAAUGCUCCACAAGCAAUGCACCUCCUUAUCCUAUUGCUCUGCCCUAGGUAAGUCCCUGGAAAUUAUAAUAGUAGUUAAUAUUUGUUGAGUAAUUCAGAGUUAAUGCAUGUUUAAUCAUUGUCAUGAAUAAAUCAGCUGAAUGAGUAGGAAUAUCCCAAAUGCCUUUCCAAUAUGUUUUUUGGUGGCUUUUGCCCAAGGUUUUUUUUUUUUUUCUCUUGGUUUAGAAGACUUAGGGCUGACUAUUCAAUACCAUUGAAAAUAUUAGAUCAAAGCAAAAAGAACAAAGCCAGAGGCAUCACAUUACCUGGCUUCAAACUAUACUACAAAGCUACAGUAAUCAAAACAGCAUGGUACUGGUGCAAAAACAGACAUACAGAAAAUAGAACAGAAUAGAUAACCCAGAAAUAAAGCCACACACUUACAGCCAUUUUAUCUUUGACUAAGUUGACAAAAAUAAGCAAUGGAGAAAGUACUCCCUAUUCAAUAAAUGGUGUUGGGAUAACUGGCUAACCAUAUGCAGAAUAAAGAGACUGAACACCUACCUUUUACCAUAUACAAAAAUUAAUUCAAAAUGGAUUAAAAUUUUAAAUGUAACACCUCAAACUAUAAGACUUUUAGGAGAAAACCUAGGAAACACCAUUCUGGACAUAGACCUUGGGAAAGAAUUUAGGGCAAAGUCCUAAAAAGUAAUUGCAACAAAAACAAAAAUUGACACAUGGAACCUAAUUAAACCAAAGAGCUUCUGCACAGCAAAAGAAACUAACAACAGAGUAAAAAGACAACCUACAGAAUGGGUAAAAUAUUCACAAACUUUGCAUCUGACAAAGGUCUAAUUGGGAAAAUCUAUAAGGAAGUUAAGCAAUUGAAAAAGCAAAAAUCAAAUUACCUCAUUAAAAAGUAGCCGAAGAACAUGAACAGACAGUUCUCAAAAGAAGACAUACAAGCAGCCAACAAGCAUAUAAAAAAUGCUCAACAUCAGUAAUUAUCAGAGAAUGCAAAUCAAAACCACAAUAAGAUACCAUCUCACACCAUUCAGAAUGGCUAUUAACAAAAAGUCAGAAAACAGCCUGCUGGUGAGGCUGUGGAGAAAAGGGAAUGUGUAUACACUGUUGGUGGAAAAGUAAAUUAGUUCAGUCACUGUGGAAAGCAGUCUGGAGAUUUCUCAAAAAAUUUAAAACAGAAGUAACUUUUGUCCCAACAAUCUCAUUACUGGGUAUAUAUCCAAAAGAAAAUAAAUCUUUCUACCAAAAAGACACACAUACUCACAUGUUCAUUGAAGCACUAUUCACAAUAUCAAAAACAUGGAAUCAACCUAGGUGCCCAUCAAUGGUAGAUUGGAUAAAGAAAAUAUAGUACAUGUACACUAAGGAACACUACACAGCCAUAAAAGGAAUAAAGUCAUGUUCUUUGCAGCAACUUGGAUGCAGUUGGAGACCAUAAUCCUAAGUGAAUUAAUGCAGGGACAGAAAACCAACUACUGCACAUUCUUGCCUAUAAGUGGGAGCUAAAUGUGGGGUACUCAUGGACAUAAAGAUGGCAACAAAUGAGAGUGGGGACUACUGGAAGGGAGGUUUUCCCCUGGAGGGUGGCAAGAGGUGAAAAACUAACUGUUGAGCACUAUGCUGACUUCCUGGGUGAUGGGUUCAAUCAUACCCCAAACUUCAGCAUCACAUAAUAUACCCAGGUAACGAACUUGCACAUAUACCCACCCUGAAUCUAAAAUAAAAGUUGAAAUUAUAAACUAACAUAAAAUAUAAAAUAAGUAGAUCAACAAGUUGAGUUGGGAUUGUAUGUGAUGGAAGGGAAGAACACAUGGGGUAAAGGCAAGUCUUUCAGGCUUAUUUCCUAUUUCUUUGAGCAUGGGUACUUGCAGCUCCAUUCCACUCUCUUCAUAAUUGUUUCCUCCACUAUCGAAUGACAACAUCAAAAUAUAUAAUAUUGGUAAAAGUAAUCAUAUUGUUUUCCUAUAUUCUUUACAUUAGUAUUAUGGAAAUACACUUGUAGUAUACUUUUUGUUUAUUUACAAUAAUCAUUUGGGAGAAUUUGUCUGCUGUGAAAUAGAAUAAUAAAAAUUGUUUUACUCUUAGUACAGAUGCUAGAGGAAAUUCUUUCACUUU